AUAAUGUAGAAUGAAUUCCCAAGUGUAGAAAAAGUGCUCAUGAAGUGAAAUCUAGGGCCACAUAAUUGCCAACAGACGGAUAAAGUGCAACAAAUCCCAGUUCGAAGGAACCUUGCUGUCUCUCUCUAGUUCUGUAAUCUAUAUAUAGAUAAUAUGAGGCCUGGAGAAAAUGCAUCUGUAGCUGUUAUCUCUGCACAUCAGCUCAAAGAUCAAGGCAAGCCCAGCUCUUCAUCAAGUCAGGUUAGGGCCCUUCAAAGAUCUCUUAAUAGAUCGGAGAGUGAGAUUAAGUCUAAAGAUGUGAAGGGAAAUUCUGUGGAGGAGUCAUUAAGAAUGGUGGUGUUCUUGGGUUCAUGGGGACCUAAUUAAGGGGUACCAUGAUGCAAUAUAAGUAGAGAAAUAAGAAAGUCUCAAGUUGCAGUUCAAGUGAACAAAAGAUGAGAGAUUUUCCUUGCAAGACAAUGUAAAGAUACAUAUGUGACUCUCUCUAUCCCUGAAAGACUAUGUAAAGAUACAUAUGUGACUAUCUUUAUCACAAAGCCAAGUUCCAUGUAACAUAAAUGUAGAUAUGCAUGUUUAAGGAUAACGAGAAUGGAAACUUUUCUAGUUGAACCCUUGAUUUA